GCACCUGCUGCUUCGCUGUUCCUUGCAGGUCUGGGGGCUGUUAGUGCUGCAGCACAGCACUGAGAAUCCAGAUGGGUUCUCCACGGGUUUGGGACUCAUCUCUACACCACUCAAAAAUC